UACGGAGGGUGCAAGCGUUAUCCGGAUUCACUGGGUUUAAAGGGUGCGUAGGAGGGCAGGUAAGUCAGUGGUGAAAUCCCCGAGCUUAACUUGGGAACUGCCGUUGAUACUAUCUGUCUUGAAUGCUGUGGAGGUGAGCGGAAUAUGUCAUGUAGCGGUGAAAUGCUUAGAUAUGACAUAGAACACCAAUUGCGAAGGCAGCUCGCUACACAGUUAUUGACUCUGAGGCACGAAAGCGUGGGGAUCAAAACAGG
rnacentral:rRNA from 1 species